AAUGACGCCUUGAGACUCGGGGGGGGGGGGCGGUACUGCCGGAAAUAGGGCCGGGCCUCCUCGCGCUUGUUCGUUGCGCGUGGACCGGCUCGUGAAGACGGAAGUUCGGAACCCUUGAGUUCAGGAUCCUAGCUCACAGAAUGGUGUUGCCAGCACUCAUGGUGGCUCCUCCUGUCUCACAUAAACUCCUCUGGAAAUGACCUCUUAUCCACUCCCACCCAGCUGGGACUCAUCGAAGCAUUUCCUCAAGGGAGACUCCUUUCUCUGUGAUAACUCCAGUUUGUGUCAAGUUGACACACAAAACCAGCCAUUCACCCACCAAUAUCCUGAGCACCACGGAAUAAGUCAUUGGUCAGCCGUGUGAGCGGUGCUGAACAAAUGCCCUUGUUUAGUUGUCUGCCCCGGGGUACAAUCAUUCUCUACUCUCAAAAUGGAGCUGCUUAUGAAACCGUCUUCCAGGACAAUAUGUAGGAGUCCCCGCAGAUGUUUUGGCUGACAGGGGAAAGCUCCACGAACGGGAAGCAGCCAGCAGCUGCCAGUAGUAACCAACAGCAGCUACCAUCGGCAGGAAAUCUCUGUGUUGAAUGGGAACAGAAAGGCUGGGAGCCUUAAAACACCUCAGAGCAUGAGCCCAGAAUUGUCUCCGAGAAGAUGCCUUCCUGGUGAAACAACACAACCCACAGUAGUGAUGGCUCAUGGCUUGCCUUAGAUGACUUUGUUUGAGUCACUGAAGAUGGGGAAAGCACUUAGGCUUAGCCUGAGCAAACAUGCCCACUACUGAUAAGACAAAAGGACUCCAAUAUAAGCUGAGGAUUUCAGCUCCCUUCUUCCUCCACAACAACAGCCCACAUUUAAUGAAAAGAUUGCAAACCUUGGCACAUUUCACCUUGGCACAAUGAAUGUUCCUCGGCUGAACCCUUUGGGCUUGACCUCCCUAUCUGCCGAUUCUGCCCUUGGUGUUCCCAUGUGAGUCAAGUGGCCUGUCUCAGCCUUACUUUCUUGGAGUGUGCACCAAGGGACUCUGAGAAGUGCUUCCUAAGACAGCGCAUUCCAGCUCGCCCUUCAUCUCUCUGGUGGCGAGGCUCUGGAUUGGUUAAAAAGAAAUGGACCCACCUGGAAGGACACAGUCUAGGCAGUCAGACCUGCCCAAGGAAAGAGACAAAUAAGGAUGUAGCCUAAGUUACCUUCUUGCUGGCUCAGUGGGCAGAGACCUGAGGGCUCAAAAGAAGAGGGGUCAGGGCUGAGCAAGAGAGAGUCCCCUGAGCUAAACCCUUCAUCCCUGUCCCCUUCUCCAGCCCUUCUCCAGUCCUGUGAGCUCAUGUUCUAGCCAUUCCCAGAUGGAGUCCAGAAACCCAUUCUUUACCCGGAGUCUAAACUGAAUUGGAUUAAAGUGGAUUUUAUGUUUGGUAUAUGCAUGUGUGGGUGUGUAUGUAUAUGUGUGUGUGUAUGUGUGUGUAAUAUGUAUGCCUGUGUAUAUGUAUGUAUGUGUAUGUAUGUGUGUGUAAUAUGUAUGCAUGUGUGUAUAUGUAUGUACUCCACUCUUCUCCCUGUAGUCCCUUCUCUGUCUCAAACACUAUCUGCCCACAACAUCUUUCAAAUCUGUCCCCAGCUCCAAUCUCAUCCUUUAUCUUUAAAGUAUAAGCCUCACAAGAGCUCUUUGUCUUGGUGGCACCUAUGUCCCCAGAGUGCAGAGAAGUGGUAAUGUGUGUGUGUGUGUGUGUAUGCAUGCAUGUGUAUGUAUGUAUAUAUGUAUGUGUGUAUGUGUGUGCAUGUGUAUAUGUAUGUAUAUAUGUGAGUGUAUGUGUAUGUGUAUGUAUGCAUGUGUAUUGUACAUGUAUGCAUAUAUUAUGUAUAUAUGCAUUUAUAUAUGUGUGUAUGUGUGUAUGUAUAUAUGUGUGAGAGUAUAUGUAUGUAUGUAUGUAUGUAUAUGCAUGUAUGUAUGCAACAGUGUUCACCCUACUGGGUGCAUGCGAUGCCUAGAGAGUGACAUUGGAAGGUCCUCCUCAAUUGCUUUCCCAUCAUAUGUGUUGACAAUCUUUCACUGAACCUGGAGCUCGUCAGCCUGGCUGGCCAGUGAGUUCCCAGGAUCUGCCUGUCUUCUGCCCUUCAGUACUGGGGGUGUGGAUACCUGUACCACGACACCUAGAUGUUUCUGUGAUUGAUAGGGAUCUAGACCCAGGCAUGCCUGCUUUCCCAACGAGUACUGUAUCUGCCGAGCCAUCUCCUCAGCCCCUGAGUUAGGUUUUCAACCUGAAACUCUUGUCAUUCUCCGUAUUGUGAAACUCGAGCCCUUGCGGUGGCUUGUAUUUAAUGUCACAGUUAGUGGGGUGUAAUUUAUUACCAUCUUUAUUCCAAGCAUUUGCACACGUGGUAAGGUUAUUUCUGAUCACAUCGGGCUUAGGGAAAGGGGUGAAGAAAACCUCUCAAGGGUCUCUGUCAGAAUCAAGUGUGGGCUUCUGUAAGGACAUCUGGGGUCCACCGGAGCAGGGCAGGUUUGGCAACACCGUGUUCCCUUGGCUGCAGUUGUUUGACCCGGAUUUCUUAAGAUCAGACUUGUGUAACAGCAGGGUGGAGUUUAUGUCUCAAUGUGCUCUAUUUGCUCCUGGGAUUAAAUGGGGAUUUAAAUCCUGGAACCAAAUUUCUAUUUAGAGUAAGGGGUUUCUCAAUCUAAGCCAUUGUUAAGAUGACAGGAAUUCUAGGCCUUCUGGAAUGUACUACCAGGUAGUGACAGUACAGGCUCCAUCUUUGUUUCUGUGGGUGUGUCUCCAUUGUCUGUUACAUACGUCCUUGACGUGAAACACUCCAGGGUGUGUAAUAAGGGACAGAAGAAAAUCUAGUGUAUCUCAGUCCAUGUGCUCACCCAACUCCCCUUCCCAGCAAACACCUCAAACACCCUGGUGCGCAUAUUCUGAGAUCUUUUCCAAAGCGUUUCUGCCCAUAUUCAUGGGCACACUCUCUUAUGUCCUUUACAGGAACAUUUAUGUUAUCUUGCCAUAGUUUUAUACCUGUAUUUAUUCAUUUAAAACGAAUCGACAAGGACUGUGGGACCGAGCCCAAGGCGAGAAAAACCAGAUGCAGGGGAGACAAACGCCCCGAGAAGCCAGCAGCUGAGAAAGCUGUAGGACUCCCUGCCUCAUGGAACUCAUCCGUUGGAAGACUAGUCUAGUCUAGGACAUGUGGUGCCUGGAAAGAGAGGCCCAGUCCUGAAUUCACAGGAAGUGUUGGAAUGAACUGUGACUCCAUGAGCCUUCGCACAAGUUUGCUCCAUAGAGAUUCAAGUCUGUGCUAAGGAAAGACAUCAGUCGUUGUCUACUGAGCCCAGGGAGUGGUCAGAUAUGAAGCUCAAUCAAUUCCAUGGGAGGUCAUCACGGGCUGAGUGGCUCUCUUCAAAUUCCCUGGAUAUCCUAACCCCCCAGGAGCUUCAGACCAUGACUUCAUUUCAAGAUAAGGACAUUGAAAGAUGAAUUUAGGAAAAAUGAUGUCGCCAGUGAGACCAGAAUCCAAGGUCACCAGUGUCCUUCAAAGGGAACGAGGACGUGGACACCUCAGGAGGACGAUGCUCAGGGAAAUGGAGAGGCCAUGCCUAAGCAGAGGCAGUAGAAUUCCAAGUUCAAGGCUAAUCUAAUCAAUCAGGGAGACCCUGCCUCAAGAGGGGGAAAAGCUUUUAAAAGUGGACUGGAAGAAAAGAACCCAAAGCUAGAAAAAUAAAGAUGGAUGGGGAAUACGGCUGAGUGGGGAGUGCUGCCAAGCACACUCAAAGGCCCUGGCUAAGUACAGACACCUCCUUUGUCCCUCACCUAGGAAAUACAGGCUAGCCAGUGUUUAUGUAGCCUUUACACUGAGUUCUAAGUAAUCUCGAGAAGCCACAAAGGGUUCGAGUCUUGUACAGAUGAUAUUCAAAUACUAUUUUUUUUAAGUGAUGAGGCCAUCCCUAAGUUUCAGUUCAGUGGAGGUUCCUGGGGAUGAUCUCAUGCCUAUGCUGAGGGCAGCUGGAUACUCACGGGAGGCCACCUCUCCUUUCUCACGAGCACAUCGUUAGAGGGUUGCUGAGGUCCCAGUCACCUAUGGUCAGAAGGAGCCCCCCAGCCUAAAGCUCCUUACAUACUUUCCACUCCUGAACUCUAUUUUCCACAGGGAAUAUUUGUGUGACUCUAGGUAUAUGGACAUAUAAAUAGAUAUACAAAUUAAACUAAGUCUUGGCUUGAGUAUAUGAUACUGCGGGACUUAGGUGUUUCAAAAGCCAGGGUGUCUCUCUUCUCUCUUCUCUCUUCUCUCUUCUCUCUUCUCUCUUCUCUCUUCUCUCUUCUCUCUUCUCUCUUCUCUCUUCUCUCUUCUCUCUUCUCUCUUCUCUCUUCUCUCUUCUCUCUUCUCUCUCCUCUCUCCUCUCUCCUCUCUCCUCUCUCCUCUCUCCUCUCUCCUCUCUCCUCUCUUCUCUCUUCUCUCUCCUCUCUCCUCUCUUCUCUCUUCUCUCUUCUCUCUUCCCUCUCCUCUCUUCUCUCUUCCCUCUCCCCUCUCCUCCCCUCUCCCCUCUCUCUUCUCUUCUCUUCUCUUCUCUUCUCUUCUCUUCUCUUCUCUUCUCUUCUCUUCUCUUCUCUCCUCUCCUCUCCUCUCCUCUCCUCUCUCCUCUUCUCUCCUCCCCUCCCUCCCUUCCACUUCUCUCUCCUCUCUCUCUUUGCUUGCAGAUCAACACACAGCUCUCAGCUACUUCUUCAGCACCACACCUGCCUGCCCACUGCCAUGCUCUCUUCCACGAUGACAAUGAACUAAGCCUUUCAAACUGUGGCGAGAGGUCCUGUUUGGAAGAAGAGUGAGCCAUACCAAGAUGAGGAAUGGAGUAGUGUGCAGCUGCUGCCAGCCAGGCAGAAGCUUUAGGAUUCAUUUCUGGACAGGGAAAGGCAUUUUAGUGCCUUGGGGCCCUUCAGCCACUGUAGGAACGGGCGUGGUGUUGUCGCAGAAGUCAUAUCCUGGACCUGGCGGCUGACUUUUCCUUAUUUAGACAUCAGCAGCUGGAGCAAGGGAAGAUUCAAGACGCGCAGUAAAGUUUACCUCACUCCAGGGACCACAAUGCAUAAAACCAGAGCAUGCUUCUCUCUGAGCUCUCCGUGAUGUUGAAAAUGAAGCUGUUUCAAGAUUUCCAAAUGCUGACCUGCCUUGUGCCCAGCUCAGUGCAGACAGAAACCAACGCACUGGAAGAGAAACACAACCAGGAAGCGGUCCCCGUCCUGAGAAGACACAGCCAUUAGUGCACAGAGGGUGUGCUCACAUAAGAAGUAAAGCUUUUCCCUUGUGGGGACGUAUUUUUACUGAAAAAGCUUUGCCGACAUGCGUGAGAAGCAUUGGUUGAUCAGACGGGGCCACCUUACUGAAUGACUGCCUGAUGGAUGGUAAAGGUAACCAGAACCCUGUCUUCUGUGGACUGUGUGGGCAGAGGCUCCUAGGGACAGACUUUCUGGGCAGCAAGGCCUGAGUGCUGUCCCUAUUGUGGCCCACUUGUUUUUCACUGAUGGCUGUGGCCUCUGGGGCUGAUAUGAUGCCCACAGCUUGUGCCUCACCACUCUGCUUUGUUCUAGGUCGUAGUGACCCCCACUGUGGCUGGGAUGGCUGCCGUCAGAGGGCCAGGGGUUCCUCAACUUGGCAUCUUCACUAUUAUGGGCCAUUUUGUGUCAGAGCCCAUCUUUUGCUCUGGGCUGUCUCUAUGAGGUCAUGAGCAUCCUGUUGCCCCAUGUACAGGAAGAGAUGCCUUUGGACUUAGGCCCAGCUCUGGACAGUAGCUGCAGGGACUUCACACUAAAGCAGAGAGUAUUCCAUUCACUAGACAAUGUUAUCCACACACCGCAGAACAUUCCUCAUCCUUCUCUUAAAAUGCCUUCCUGGGGGAGACUGUCACUUCUUUGACGGGCAUGGGGAGGGCUUGCUCCCAACAGCGCCCACCUAGAUUCCUGCCCUGAGCAUGGCUCAGCUCACUGGCUCGGAAGGCUCUCACCCCUGCAAGCCUUUCUCUUGCUGUUCCGCUCUGGGCCUCUCAUGGCCGCCUCUCUCCUGGUUAUAGAAUUAUCUGCUGGGACUCCUUCUGAAACCUUCUCUUUGGCGACCAGCUCUCUGCUGUGCCUACAGCUCAUUCAGAGCACAGAAACUCACCAGAGUCUCCAUGUUGCUUCUAGACUCUGAAAGAUGCUCCGAGAGGUGCAGAGAGCAGGCUGGCUGAGGUGGGGAGUGUGACACAGUGUUGGGGGAGGACCAGGGGUCCAUUCUUGAGAUUAUUGCCUUAAAUGUAUACCUGUCACUAUUGUGCUUUCAGGCCAGGAUGCCUGCUUUCUAGAAUGGAGGUUUUUACUAGUCUCGAAUCUGAUCUUGCUAGAUUCAUUGAUUAACUUUGGCAGGGACACCAUUAGCACUCAGCAGUGAUGUCAUCACCACACCUCCAGUGACUCCACAGUCAUGGUGGUUUGGUCACUGAUGACUGGAACCCUAUUCCAGUCUCCAUGGUGGUCAUACUUCUUCAGUGUCUUCUGAGGCCACAUACCCACUCACCUGCUGUGUGUCACCCAUCAUCUUUGCAAGGCUCGGACUUGACUACAUGCUGAGUCUCUGGGUGAACAGCCUUGCUCUGGUAGUUUUAUCCAGGAGAGAGCAAGUGUGGUGUCAACGUGGAAUCAACAGUCUAGGGAAGGGACGAGGCUGGAGUGACCCCCAGCGUGGGGUCCCCUGGCUCCAGAACCUGCAGGUUUGAGCCCCACCUGAACCUCACAAGAUACGGGGUGUCUGGUUCUGACUUAGGUGAGACCUGAGGUCAAGGAAGGAAGGCUUCUGGGGGUAUUCUCAUGGGAUGUCCAACCCUUCCAGAAUGCUGGGUUUAUGGACCGAGGAAGCUGGGCUUUGGGCAAGCAUGGUUGACAGUGGGCCAUGAUCAGUACACGUGGGGAUGACCCUGUGUGUUCUCCUCCAACUUCCUGCCAUGAUUGACUUGCAAGAUGUUCUAUAGAUGUUUCUUGCUUGUGUCACUAGAUAAGGGACUUCUAGAGUGGCACUUGCUAGGCCUCACCAGGCACUCCCUGAAGCUUUCUUAUCCCCUCCAGCCUCUUUGCUGGGUGAUGCUUCAGUCCCACCCCAUCUCCCUGCAGUCUCUUCCUUACAUCUGUUAGUUUCACCUCUUGUCCCUUCUUAGAUGCUCUUUCAGCGCUAAAGGACCCAAUCAUUUACACACCCUUGUGGCCUUCACAAGCAACUGCGGACUUGUCUGUCCCUGGCAUCAACAUGUCCUUGAGAAUUUACCCUUCCUGAGUCAGGCCUGCCCCAUCUGAAGUGGGGGACUUGCUGCUGUUCAUUUCUGGUGACUUCUCCUGGCUGUGUUGCUCCUUCACUUGGAAUCUACAAGAAUGACAGAGACUGACGUGGAGGUGUGGGUGGGAAGACCUCAGGGAAGGUUGAGAAUGGGCUCACUAAUUGUAUCUUGAUACUCAUGGAGGAAAAUUUUACCUUUGUCUAUUUUAGUCACUCCAGGAAGGACAGUUCAUUUAAUUGGCAUCUUCUAGUGAGAUAGGGAGCAUGUGCAGAGACCAGGCAGGAGCCAGCAACGGCUCACUGAGCAGGGGGCACAUGCCGUCAUUACUUGAUACAUUUCUGCUCCAAAUGAUGCUCCGAGCUCUUGGGAGAGCUGGCUGCUGAGGGCUGGAGAGUUGCUCUUCCACUUCAUGCCGCAGAUGGGGAAAGGAUGAAUUCAUCAUGGCUCAGUCAUGAGCUCUUUCGAUGGCUUUGGGAGACACGGAGAUGUGGUCUGCAGCUGGGGCGGGCGAGGUCAAGAGGCCUAGUAGGCAGAGUAGGGUCAGUAUCUAUUGUCCAUGGACUCACAACUGUCCUGACCUCAGAUGCCCUUCAAAUUGCAUGCACCAUAGACGCAUCCUACCCUGCCUUGACUUUCCCUACAAGGUAAGACACAGGCCUUGGGGUUGCAACAGAGAUCCUGGUAAGAAUUAAGCAGAAGUGUGGCAAGCUCCUCGUAUUUGCAAAGUUAAAGGCAAGUUCUAAGUCUCUUCUAUCGCCAGCCAUCUCUAUAGGCCAGGCUCAGAAACUGGUCAGAGAGUGGACCCACAGACUGACAAGGGGAGCCCAGGGAAGCAAAGUCCCAGCACUGGUGUCCUGAGACAGAGGCCGGUGACAGUGAUUGAAAAGGCUCAGUGGGUCCCAUCAUUUAUAGGGUGCUUCCUCCACCAAACUAUGAUUUCCAAAGCCACUGUAUGGUGAGAAAGAAGGAAUCCUUUGAAAGAGGAUUAGUUCUAAGGGAAGUGAAAUAAUUUGUGCAUGGAAAGGCCUGGAGGUCCUUCUCCAAAUCUGGGCAGCAUGGCUCUGCUCCCGCGUCCGUCUCUCUGAGCAUUGUCUUUGACAGCUUCAUUCCACGUUUUGAACCUAGAAAGCAUCUCCAAGCUUGAUUGCCUUCCCAGCAGCCUCUCUUUGUUAGGCUUCUGCACUUACAUUCUCUGAUACACGGCUCUCAGGGACAGGAGAUGAAGGACAGAACCUACCUUCAAUGAUGGGACUGUUAUCAUUUCUUUGCUAUCUGCUAAUGGAAUAAGGUGUCAACCAGAUUUUCAAUGACCAGUGCCUCAUUUUACAGACCAUGCUGUUAGUUCUGAGAACACUUGUCUGCUGUAUAACCCCCAGGCAGCAGGACUCAUAUCCGUUGAGGCCAGUUAGACUGAAGCCCUUGGAGAAACAUAAGCAUUGAACUGACCCCCAUGACUCUCUAAUGCACACCACAGGGCUCUGGUAGUUUCCCCAGUGACUGACCCUGUCCCAGCUGCACCCAGAUGACCCACUGUCAGAGCUGAUGGGUGAGCAGAGCACUGCUGUAGUGUACAGAAUGCCUCAGGUCCUAGGUAGUGAGCAGCCCAGUGAGAGUCAAGUGGCUGCUGGUCCACCAGGAGAUGGGUCGCUUGACUCCUGUUACAAUGUGAGGAGUCUCUGGUCUUCCUAACUCAGGACUCUUGAUCCUGUGUGCCUGUUCUGUUACUAGUUGUGCCCUGAAUGGAUUAAAGAAAAUUCCUUAGUGUCGCAGUGGCCUUCUGGUCCUGUGCACCACUUUGCUGUCAACUCCAGGAAUGAUGCAUGGGUUCCUCAUGUUGUCAAGUGUGUGGUAUGCUCCAUGGUUACACCCCCAGCCGCUUCUGCCAUGGUGUCUGUGAGAAGGUGCCAAUGGUGCUGUUUUUACGUGGUGCAGAUUGACUGUGACAGUCCCCUAGUAAUCACUUAUUUUAAGUCCAUUUCUGGUCACCUCUACCUCUAUAUUGUAUGUAGAAAGUGCUGUUCUCAGGACAGAAUGCAUCCUCAUCUCUGAUGUCACAAACCACACGUCACACUAGGCUCAGAUUAAGGCCUUGACUAUUGUGUCUGCACGGGUGCUGCUGAGUCGUUGGCUCCGUUCCUUGGUCUCCAAGGGUAAAACAGUUAAUUGUUGCUCUUGUUGCCAGUGACUUUAUGCCUUAGCAACACUGCCUCACUGUGACUGGGGAUUCUGUUUACAAGGUGUACUGAUCCCUUCCUGGCUGCUGUCUGUAGCCCCUCACAAACUCCGUGAACACUGCCGAAGAGGGUGUGUGAGAUUGUAAGAGCCUUAAGGAAGGGUAUAAUAUGUAGAUUCGGGUUAAUGUGACUGCAGUGGCUUGAGGUCAGAUUGCUAGGAGUAUUCCAGAAUAAUCCUAACGACAUUCUCCCACUUAUUCUCCUGCAAACUAUAAAUAGACAAUCCAGUAGGGAGCUGUGUGCAGCUCUAUAGUAACCCCUGGCUCUAGGAGUGAGACUCACUGGUGUCAGGAUAACCAUACCCCUGGGAUGGAGGGGGAGACCUUUAUGUCCUCACCUACAUAGACCUCUGCGACCCAAACUGAGCAGCUCACUGCUGCUGCUGUCACCCAGGCCCACGCUUCUGUAAGUCCCCAAUAAACUGUGCCCUGUACAAUGAG